GGGGCGCACUUCCGCAGUCGCUCCCGGAAGGGGGCCGGAGGGGCUUUCGCCUCAGUAGUGUUUCCGCGCGCCCUCGCUAGAGCGAAGCUGAGCGCUCUCAGGCCCGCGGGUAAGAGGCAUCUAGAAAGAUUUUUACAACUCAGUGUUUUCCGAGUUCCACUUGGCAUGACUUACUGCAAGAAGCUGAUAUGGAAAUCUCACUUAAAAAGUCAGCUUGCACCAAGGAUGACUGACUUGCCGCAGUUCCCAGGGACAUAGGUCAUCUCUCAGCUGUCUUGAAGGAAUGUGCAACAGAUUAAGAAAAAGUCUGAAAACUAUUUCAAUAGGUCCAUGCUGUGGAUCUCCUGAAGCCAAAAGAGGGAUACGUUAUAUAAAGAAGCUUUCCCACUGUCGUGGCACUUACAAGCAUUCUCUGCCAUAUAAACUACCUGAUGCUGAAUCAAGGCAGACUGAUGAAUCAAGGUUCUACUACACUGAUUCCAAAAAUCAUUUCUCUUCCAAAUGAUUUUUUAAGAUUAUCAAAAACUCUUGCAUUCUGAGUAAAGCCCUUUCAACAAGUGUUUCUCACCUGUGUAAAGUCUCCAAUGUCGACUGAAGACUGAUUUUUAAGUGAUUUUCCACAUCCAUCACAUUUUGGAUUUUUCUUUCCUUUUGGAUUCCCAUUUGAUGAAUAAGGCCAAUGUUUGAUUUAAGAGUCUUCCCACGCUCUUCAUAUACAAUGGAUGGGCUUAGAGUGCUUUCUUUGAUGCUGAGUGAAGUCUGCAUUUGGAGUAAAGCCUCCCCCAUGUGGACCAUGCUUCAAGGCUUUCUGCGUUCAGAGGAGCCUCUGAUGCUGCUUAUGUACUAAAUUCUAGAUAAAGUUCGUGUUGGAGUCAUUGAGUUUGACUUGUUUCUUAAUCGUGGAAUGUACCCAAUUUCUCCUUCAGCUUCUGUAAAGUUUUCAUUUGGGUCUGCCAGGAAUGUCUCUGUGUGUUUCCCUUUCUUCGUGUGUCUUGCUUUGGGUGUAUAUUUCUGUAUUUGCUUCUGGAAUCACCAUCUGUAGCUACAAGUAGAUGAACUGUCCAAUGAAGAAUAUAAAUUCAAUGAGUACAAUUCAGAUUUAUGAGUCAACUAUUUUAGAAUGCGGGUAACAGGGCUUCUGCAUGUAGGAAAGGGAAGUGGUUAGCAAGAAGACUGAUGAAGGUCACUGAAAAAAUGCAAAGCAAAUCAAGAUGUGUAGAAGGGACAAUAUUUGAGAGCAAGGAGAUAUUGUCUGAAAGUUUUGCAGUGGCAAAGUGAUACAUAUGGGUAAGCGAAGAAAUACAGACUAAGUAUAAAAACUUUGGAGUAGUAACCAGCAGUAAGAAGCAGGAAAGGACUGUUAAUGAUGAUGAUUUUGAGGUUGAGUUAUACCUAAUAAUGGACAGCCAUAAAACGGGGAUCACAGUAAAUAUGAGACUAUGUGACAGAGACACUCUAGAAAUAAAGAAGUCAAGGUUUAGUGGAGGCCUCGCUCCAUUUGGGAUACUUACUAUCCUGAGUCAGUAACUGAUGGUGCCCUGAAAUCUCUGUAUGUCCAAGACUUCUUAAAGAGAUCCUUCUCCUGAGCUUUGCUACUUAGUAUAAGAGGAAAUUAAAUAUGUGUAAUAAAAAUACACUGUGGUUUUGGCAUUUAUUUAAAUUUAUAAACAACAUAAAGAAUAUAUAAUUUGACCAGAGGCAUUGGCUUAUUCCUGUAAUCACAGCCCUUUGGGAGGCCAUGGUGGACAGAUUGCUUCAACCCAGGAAUUUGAGACCAGGCUGGGUAAUAUAGCAAGAACUCACCUCUGCAAAAACUACAAAAAUAUUAGCCAAGAGUGGUGGCGCCCACCUGUAUUCCACGGUGCAUAUUUACCAUGUUUCCUUUAUCCAUUCCACCCCUGAUGCACAUCUAGGUUGAUUCCAUGUUUUUGCUAUUGUGUAUAGUGCUGUGAUGAAUAUAUGAGUGCAUGUAACUUUUUGGUAGAAUGGUUUAUUUUUCUCUGCAUACAUACCCAGUAGUGGGAUUGCUGGGUUUAAUGGCAGUUCUUUGAGAAAUCACCAAACUGCUUUCCACAGUUGCUGAACUGUGUAUAAGCAUUCCUUUUGCUCCUCAGCCUCACCAGCAUCUCUUAUUGUUUGACUUUUAAAUAACAACCAUUCUGACUGGUGUUAAGAUGGUUCCCACUGUGCUUUUAUUUGCAUUUCUCUGAUGAUUAGUGAUCUUUCACAUUUUUUCAUGUUUGCUGGCUGCUUCUGUGUCUUCUUUUGAGAUAUGUCAUGUGUUUUGACCAAAUUGUAAUGGAAUUUUUUUUGCUUGUUGAAUUGUUUGAGUUCCUUAUAAAUUCUGGAUAUCAGAUUUUUGCUGGAUGAAGUUUGCAAGUAUUUUUUUUCCCAUUCUGUAGGCUAUUUACUGUUGAUAAUUUAUUUUACUGUGAAGAGCUCUUUAAUUAGGUCCCAUUUGUCAAUUUUCAUUUUUGUUGAGAUUGCUUUUAAGGACUUAGUCAUAAAUUCUUUCCCAAGGCUGAUGUCCAGAAUGGCAUUUCCUAGGUUUUCUUCUAGGAUUCUUAGAUUUGCAGUCUUACUUUUAAAUCUUUAAUCCAUCCAUAUAUAUAUAUGUAAAAUUGCAUUUUAGGUUAUGGGAUACAUGUAAAGAACAUGUAGGAUUGUUGCAUAGGUACAUACAUGGCAAUGUGGUUUGCUGCCUCCAUCCCCAUCACCUAUAUCUGGAAUUUCUCCCCAUGAUAUCCCUCCCCAACUCACUACCCUUCACUAUCCCUCCCAUAGUCCCCCACCAACAGACCUUAGUGUUCUCAUUGUUCAACACCCACCUAUCAGUGAGAACAUGAGGUGCUUGAUUCUCUGUUCCUGUGUCAGUUUGCUGAGAAUGAUGGUUUCCAUGUUCAUCCAUGUCUCUACAAAGGACACAAACUCAUUGUUUUUUUAUGGCUGCAUAGUGUUCCAUGGUGUAUAUGUGCCACAUUUUCCCUGACCAGUCUAUUAUCAAUGGGCAUUUGGGUUGGUUCCAAGUCUUUGCCAUUGUAAACAGGGCUGCAGUGAAUAUAUGUGUGCAUGUGUUCUUAUAAUAGAAUGAUUUAUAAUACUUUGGAUAUACACCCAGUAAUGGGAUUGCUGGGUCAAAUGGAAUUUCUAUUUCAAGGUCCUUGAGGAAUCACCACACUGUCUUUCACAACGGUUGAACUAAUUUACACUCCCACCAACAGUGUAAAAGUGUUCCUAUUUCUCCACAUCCUCUCCAGCAUCUGUUGUCUCCAGAUUUUUUUAAUGAUUGCUAUUCUAACUGGCAUGAGAUGGUGUCUCAAUGUAGUUUUGAUUUGUAUUUCUUUAAUGACCAGUGAUGAUGAGCAUUUUUCAUGUUUGUUGGCCUCAUUUCUGCCUUCUUUUGAAAAGUGGCUGUUCGUAUCCUUCACUCAUUUUUGAAUGGGUUUGUUUUUUUUUCUCAUAUAUCUGUUUUAGUUCUUUGUAGAUUUUGGUUAUAAGUCCUUAUUCUGUUGGUUGCCAGUUCACUCUAAUGAUUGUUUCUUUUGCUGUGCAGAAGCUGUAGAGUUUAAUUAGAUCCCAUUUGUCUAUUUUGGCUUUUGUUGCCAAUGCUUUUGGUGUUUUAGUCAUGAAGUCUUUGCCUAUGCCUGUGGUCUGAAUGGUUUUGCCUAGGUUUUCUUCUAAGGUUUUUAUCAUGUGAGGUCUUAUGUUUAGGUCUUUAAUCCAUCUGGAGUUAAUUUUAGUGUAAGGUGUGAGGAAGGGGUCCAGUUUCUGCUUUCUGUACAUAGCUAGCCAGUUUUCCCAACACAAUUUAUUAAACAGGGAAUCCUUUUCCCAUUGCUUGUUUUUGUCAGGUUUGUCAAAGAUCACAUGGUUGUAGAUGUGUGGCACUGCCUCCAUGGCCUCAGUUCUGUUCCAUUGUUCUGUAUCUCUGUUUUGGUACCAGAACCAUGCUGUUUUGAUUACCGUAACCUUGUAGUAUAGUUUGAAGACAGGUAGGGUGAUGCCUCCGGCUUUGUUCUUUUUGCUUAGAAUUGACUUGGCUAUGCAGGCUCUCUUUUGGUUCCAUAUGAAGUUUAAGGUGUUUUUUUCCAGUUCUGUGAAGAAGUUUAUUGGUAGCUUGAUGGGGGUAGCAUUGAAUCUGUAAAUUACUAUGGGCAGUAUGGCCAUUUUCACAACAUUGAUUCUUCCUAACCAUGAACAUGGGAUGUUUCUCCAUCUGUUCGUGUCCUCUCUUAUUUCAUUGAGCAGUGGUUUGUGGUACUCCUUGAAGAUGUCUUUUGUUGGGGUCCGGCAUGUCUGCCGGGGGGCUACCAACCUGCAGGAGUGUCCAAGACCGCCAACGUAGAUGUCUCAUUCAACCUGAGGGAGAGAGUUCAUGGAAGUGAAAGAAAAAAGAAAAGCAGAGUCUGGAGGGCUGGCUUAGGCUAUGCCCAAGCAGCAAUUUUAUUUUUGCAAUAUGUUCCAUUAUAUACUUUUCUGAAGUUAAUGUUGUUUACGCCAGAUCUACAUACUUAAGUUACAGUAAGCAAGUUAUGCCCACUAAGUUACACCCAGUAAGUAAGUUAAGCCCAGUAAGUCAGUUAUGCCCAGUAAGUUAUGGUAAGUCAGUUAUACCCAGUAAGUUACAGUAAGUAAGUUACGCCCAGCAAGUAAGUUACGCCCAGUAAGUACUUAACAAUUGUAAAUACUUAAGUUUAGUCACAAGAUAAGCAAGUUACAGUUAUGCCCAGUAAGUUGUGGUAAGUAAGUUACAGUUACACCCAGUAAGUUAUGGUAAGUAAGUUACCAAGUGUAAAUACUUGUUAAUAUUUUACAAUGAAGGUAACAAGGGUAUAAAAUGAACACAAUCAAGCAAUAAACCAUAAGGAGCCAAAAGUGGACACAAUGCCUCCCAAGUUCUCAUAUCCAUAAAGUAAUGUCUGUUAAUUAUUUUGAAUAGGAUAGUCCCUCUCUCGGUUUCUGCUUUCCCUCAGCUCAACUCCCCCAACCGGGGAUCUGUGUCCGGGCUCAAGCUCACCGUAUGGCGAGGCCCAUUUCCUAGGGGCCUCACACAGGAGCAAUCCCCACAGAUCCCUCUUUACAUCCUUUGUUAGUUGUAUUCCUAGGUAUUUUAUUCUCUUUGUAGCAAUUGUGAAUGACAGUUUGUUCUUGAUUUGGCUCUCUUUAAGUCUGUUAUUGGUGUAUAGGAACGCUUGUGAUUUUUGCACAUUGAUUUUGUAUCCUGAGACUUUGCUGAAGUUGCUUAUCACUUUCAGGAGAUUUGGGGCUUAGACGAUGGGGUCUAAAUAUACAAUCAUGUCAUCUGCAAAUAGAGAUAAUUUGACUUCCUCCUUUCCUAAUUGAAUACCCUUUAUUUCUUUUUCUUGCCUGAUUGCUCUGGCCAGAACUUCCAAUACUGUAUUGAAUAGGAGUGGUGAGAGAGGGCAUCCUUGUCUAGUGUCAGAUUUCAAAGGGAAUGCUUCCAGUUUUUGCCGAUUCAGUAUGAUAUUAGCUGUGGGUUUAUCAUAAAUAGCUUUUAUUAUUUUGAGAUACAUUUUUUAAAUACCUAGCUUAUUGAGAGUUUUUAGCAUAAAAGGCUGUUGAAUUUUGUCGAAGGCCUUCUCUGCGUCAAUUGAUGUAAUCAUGUGGUUUUGUCUUUGGUUCUGUUUACGUGGUGAAUUACGUUUAUAGACUCAUGUAUGUUGAACAGCCUUGCAUCUCCACGAUGAAGCCUACUUAAUUGUGGUGGAUAAGCUUUUUGAUGUGCUGUUGCAAUUGGUUGCCAGUUUUUUAUUGAAGAUUUUGCAUCUAUGUUCAUCAUGGAUAUUGGCCUGAAGUUUUAUUUUCUUGUUGAAAGUUUUAUUUCUCUGUUGGGUUUUGGUAAUAGGAUGAUGUUGGUCUCAUAAAAUGGUUUGAUGAGGAUGCCCUCUUUUUGGAUUGUUUGAAAUAAUUUCCAAAGGAGUGGUAUCAGCUCCUCUUUGUAUGUCUGGUAGAAUUCGGCUGUGAAUUCAUCUGGACCUGGGCUUUUUUUGGUUGGUAGGCUAUUAAUUGCUGUCUCAACUUCAGCCCUUGUUAUUGGUCUAUACAGGGUUUUGACUUCUUCCUGGUUUAGGCUUGAAUUCAAGUCUUAGAUAUCCUUGUUAAUCUGUCUCAUUCAUCUGUCUAAUAUUGACAGUGGAGUGUUAAAUUGCCCCACUAUUAGUGUGUGGGAAUCUAAGUCUCUUUGUAGGCCAUUAAGAAUUCGCUUUAUGUGUCUGGGUGCUCCUGUAUUGGGUGUGAAUAUAUUUAGGAUCAUUAGCUCUUCUUGUUGCAUUGAUCCUUUUACCAUUAUGUAAUGCUCUUCUUUGUCUCUUUUGAUCUUUGUUAGUUUAAAGUCUAUUUUAUCAGGGACUAGGAUUGCAACUCCUGCUUUUUUUUUUGCUCUCCAUUUGCUUGGCAGAUCUUCCUCCAUUCCUUUAUUUUGAGCCUAUGUGUAUCCUUGCAUGUGAGAUAGGUUUCCUAGAUAUAGCACACUGAUGGGUAUUGACUUUUUAUCCAGUUUUCCAGUCUUUGUCUUUUGAUUGGGGCAUUUAGCCCAUUUACAUUUAAGGUUAAUAUUGUUAUGUGUGAAUUUGAUCCUGCCAUUUUGAUGCUAACUGGUUGUUUUGCCCAUUAGUUGAUGCAGUUUCUUCACUGUGUUGAUGCUCUUUACCAUUUGGUACAUUUUUGGAGUGGCUGGUACUGGUUGUUCCUUUCUAUGUUUAGUGCUUCUUUCAGGAGCUCUUAUAAAGCAGGCCUGGUGGUGAUGAAAUCUCUGAGCAAUUGUUUGUUCAUAAAGGAUUUUAUUUCUCUUUCGCUUAUGAAGCUUAGUUUGGGUGGAUAUGAAAUUCUAGGUUGAAAGUUCUUUUCUUUAAGGAUAUUGAAUAUUGGCCCGCACUCUCUUCUGGCUUAUUGGGUUUCUGCAGAGAGAUCUGUUGUGAGUUUGAUGGGCUUCCCUUUGUAAGUAACCUGACCUUUCUCUUUGGCUGCCCUUAGCAUUUUUUCCUUCAUUUCAACCCUGGUGAAUCUGAUGAUCAUGUGCCUUGUGGUUGCUCUUCCUGAGGAAUAUCUUUGUGGUAUUCUCUGUGUUUCCUGGACUUGAAUGUUGGCCUGCCUUGCUAGGUUGGGGAAGUUCUCCCGGAAAAUAUUCUGAAGAGUGUUUUCCAGCUUCGAUUCAUUCUCUCCAUCACAUUCAGGUACACCUAUCAAAUGUAGGUUAGGUCUUUUCACAUAAUCCCAUAUUUCUUGAAGGCUUUGUUCAUUUCUUUUUACUCUUUUUUCUCUAAACUUGCCUUCUCAUUUUAUUUCAUUGAGUUGAUCUUCAUUCUCUGAUAUCCUUUCUUCUGUUUGGUCAAUUUGGCUAGUGAAACUUGUGUAUGCUUCGCGAAGUUCUUGUGUGGUGUUUUUCAGCUCCAUCAAUUCAUUUAUAUUCCUCUCUAAGCUGCUUAUUCUCGUUAGCAUUUUGCCAAACCUUUUUUCAAGGUUCUUAGUUUCUUUGCAUUGGGUUAGAACAUGAUCUUUUAACUCAGAGAAGUUUGUUAUUACCCACCUUCUGAAGCCUGUUUCUGUCAAUUCAUCAGACUCAUUCUCCAUCCAGCCUUGUUCCCUUGCUGGUGAGAAGUUGUGUUCCCUUGGAGGAGUAGAGACGUUCUGGUUUUGGGUGUUUUCAUCCUUUUUGCACUGGUUUCUUCCCAUCUUUGUGGAUCUGUCUUCCUGUGGUCUUUGUGGUUGGUGACUUUCAGAUGGGGUGUCUGAGUGGACAUCCUUUUUGUUGCUGAUGAAGUUAUUUCUGUUUCUUAGUCCUCUUUCUAACAGUGAGCCCCUGCUGAUGUAGGACUGCUGGAGGUCCACUCCAGACCCUGCUUUCCUGGGGAACACCUGCAGUGGCUGUUGAACAGUAAGGGUUGCUGCCAGUUUCUUCUUCCAUUAUCUUUGUCCCAGAAGGAUACCCUCCAGAUGUCAGCCUGAGGUCUCCUUUAUGAGGUAUCUCUUUGGUUAUACAGGGGUCAGGGAGCUGCUUGAGGAAACAGUCUGUACCUUAUAGGAGUUCAAGUGCUGAGCUAUGAGCUCCAUUGUUCUGUUCAGAGCUUUGGAGCAGGUAUGUUUAAGCUGCUGCUGUGGAACUCUUAACCACCUUGUUUUCCCAGGUGCUCUGUCCUGGGAAGGUGGGGCUUUAUUUAUAAGUUCCUGUCAUUCUGCUGCCUUUUUUCAGAGAUGCCAUGCCCAGUGAGGAGGUAGCCUCCUCACAGUCUGCCAGCAGAGACAUUGCUGAGCUGCUGUGUGAAUUUCCUUGCAGUUUUGUUUAUAGAGUUAUAGUUAGAACUGCCUCAGUAAUGGCUGUAUGCCUCAGUAAUGGCAGACUGUCUGUGUAAUGGCAGACUGCCUUGGUAAUGGCAGAUUGCCUCAGUAAUGGUGGACUGCCUUAGUAGUGGUGGACUGUCUCGGUAAUGGUGGACACCCUUCCCGUGGGACGGUCCAGCUGUGCUUGCUAUGAAACUCUCAAUCCAGAGCGUUUCAGAUUGCUGGUCUUUGUGGGGGUGGGACCAGCCAAGCCAGAUCACCUGGCUCCCUGUUUCAGCCCACCUUUUUUCAGUUGAAUGGGUGACUCUGUCUUCCAGGCAUUCCAGUCGCCAGUUGAAACAGCGCCUGGAUUUGUGUGAGUUUUUUUGUGGAUACCCGCUGUGCUGACCGAAACAGUGGCAAUGGAGACUCGUGGCACUUUUCCACAUGGGAAUCUCCUGGUCCGUGGUCAGUAAAAGUUUGUUUGGAAAUGUGGUGGUCACUCACCCUCUGUGUUUUUGCUGGGAACUGCAAUCCAGAGCUGUUCUUAUUCAGCUAUCUUCUAAUCCAUCUUGAAUUAUUUUUUAUAUAUAAUGAAAUGCAAGGACCCAGUCUCAUUCUUCUGCAUAUGGCUAGCCAACUAUCUCAGCACCAUUUGUAAAUAAGCACCUGUUGCUUAUUUUUGUUCUUUGUCAAAGAUCAGAUGACUGUAGAUAUGUGACCUUAUUUCUGGGUUCUCUAUUUAGAUCUAUCAGUCUCUAUGUUUGUUUUUAUGUUGGCACCAUGCUGUGUUGGUUAUUGUAGACUUACAGUAUAGUUUGAGGUCAAGUAAUGUGAUACCCCCAGAUUUGUUCUUUUUGCUUAGGAUUGCUUUGGCCAUUUUGGUUAUUUUUUUCUUCUCUAUGAAUUUUAGAAUAGUUUUUUUCUAAUUGUGUGAAAAAUGACAUUGGUAAUUUAACAGGAAUAGUGUUGAAGCUAUAGAUUGCUUUGGCUAGUAUGGUCAUUUUAAUGAUAUUGAUUCUUUCAAUCCAUGAGCCAGAAAUGUUUUUCCAUUUGUUUGUGUCAUCUAUGAUUUCUUUUAGCAGUGUUUUGUAGAUCUUUUUGUAGCAGUCUUUCAAGUUUGGUUAGAUAUAUUCCUAGGUAUUUAUUUUUUUGUGGUUAUUAUAAAUGGGAUUUCAUACAACUUGAUUUUAGAUGGUUCAGUUGAAAAGGGAAGAAAGAGGAAGAAAGAAUAGAAAGGGGGAAGGAAAGAAGGAAUGAAAGCAAAGUAUACAUGUGGCUGGGCAUGGUGACUAUGCCUGUAUCUAAGUACACUAUGCCUGUAUCUAAGUACUUUGGGAGGCCGAGGGAGGAUUAUUUGAGGCCAGGAGUUCAAGACCAUCCUGGUCAAUAUAGUGAGAUUUUGUCUCUACAAAAAAUUUAAAAAUUAGUUGGGCAUGUUGGCACAUGCCUGUAGUUUUAGCUACUCAGGAGGCUGAGGUGGGAGGAUCCCUUGAGUUGAGCCCAGGAGUUCGAGACUAUUAGCUAUAGUUGCACCACUGCACUCCAGCCUGGGCAACAGAGUAAGACCCUGUCU